ACCGGCGGCUCAAGUGGUGGCCAUUAUUAUUGGGCUUAAAGCGUUCGUAGCUGGUUUGUUAAGUCUCUGGGGAAAUCUUGCGGCUCAACCGGGGGGCGUGUUAGGGAUACUGGCAGACUUGAGAUCGGGAGAGGUGAGGGGUACUCCAAGGGUAGGAGUGAAAUCCUGUAAUCCUGGGGGGACCACCUGUGGCGAAGGCGUCUCACCAGAACGGCUCUGACAGUGAGUAACGAAAGCUAGGGGAGCAAACCG
rnacentral:rRNA from 1 species